AGGACGAACGCUGGCGGCGUGCCUAAUACAUGCAAGUCGAACGGCUUUUCUAUGGAAGCUUGCUUCCACUGAGAAGAUAGUGGCGAACGGGUGAGUAACACGUGGGUAAACCCUGCCCAUAAGAGGGGGGAUAACAUCCGGAAACGGGUGCUAAUACCGCAUAGUUUCUUGAUCGCAUGAUCGGGAAAGGAAAGACGGCCUUUGUGCUGUCGCUUAUGGAUGGACCCGCGGCGUAUUAGUUAGUUGGUGAGGUAACGGCUCACCAAGACGAUGAUACGUAGCCGACCUGAGAGGGUGAUCGGCCACAUUGGGACUGAGACACGGCCCAAACUCCUACGGGAGGCAGCAGUAGGGAAUCUUCCGCAAUGGACGAAAGUCUGACGGAGCAACGCCGCGUGAGUGAAAGAAGGUUUUCGGAUCGUAAAACUCUGUUGUCAGAGAAGAACAAGUUGGAGAGUAACUGCUCCAGCCUUGACGGUAUCUGACCAGAAAGCCACGGCUAACUACGUGCCAGCCGCGGC
rnacentral:rRNA from 1 species